rfam:Purpureocillium lilacinum isolate PLFJ-1 scaffold00007, whole genome shotgun sequence.
GGCAGAAUGCCCGAGUGGUUUAAGGGGUGUGACUUGAAGCAGCAAAUAACGCUUUUAAACGUUAUUUUGCAAACAGUUAUCACAUGGGUUCGCCCGCGCAGGUUCGAACCCUGCUUCUGUCG